rnacentral:rRNA from 1 species
UACGUAGGGUGCAAGCGUUAAUCGGAAUUACUGGGCGUAAAGCGUGCGCAGGCGGUUUUGUAAGUCUGUCGUGAAAUCCCCGGGCUCAACCUGGGAAUUGCGAUGGAGACUGCAAGGCUAGAAUCUGGCAGAGGGGGGUAGAAUUCCACGUGUGAGCAGUGAAAUGCGUAGAGAUGUGGAGGAACACCGAUGGCGAAGGGCGAGCCCUCGGUC